rnacentral:lncRNA from 1 species
CUGGCACCCGUUGCCCAAUGUGGAGCAGUUUUCCAGGACCGAGCCCUUAAGCAGGGGGGUCUGUGCUGACCGCAGGGGACGGGGUCAGGACUCAACAGGAGAGCUGAGAGGUGGUGCUGGGGAGGGCGCCGUGCGUUUGGUGGCACACGUGGGACAGCUCCCGUUCCCCCUCUUCAGUCCUCGGAACAGCUCGGCAAGGUUGCUGCUGUGGUCGCCCUGGUUUUGCAGACGAGGAACGAAGGAGCGCGGCCUUGCCCCCGUUAACGAUAAGCUGUUCAUGAGGGCACAGCAGACCCCAGGUGUGCCUCUUAGACACUUGGAUGCCCCUCAGACCCCUUUGGGGCUGCUGUUGUGGAGGAAAGCCCCCUGGCACCCCAAAUCGGCGCCUCCUGCGUGACCUAUGAGAGACACGGCAGGGCUCCUCUCCUUCGGUCAUUCCUGACCCCUCGCUCCCUGCUCAAGGCCACAGGUGACGAACACUUGCGUCCGUGAGCCCUACCCCCACCGAGGGAAGCAGCGGCACCUGUUCCACUGAUGGGGAAACUGAGUCACGGGGCGCCUGAAGCUCAGGGGCCGAGGGGCUUCCCCAAGGCAUAUGGCAGGUGGCCUGUGCUGGGGUGGGGCCGGCACCCGGCUCUGGACACACCAUCCCACAUUUCUGUCCUUGUUUGAUGUCCCCUGAGACGGGGACAUCCGAAGCCAGGAACAGAGUGUCUUCUUCUGGUGUCACCUGACCUUGGCCCGGCCCAGGCAGACCAACAUGCUCCAGGGCGGGGGGCUAGAUGAACAAGCUAGAGCUGCCUCAAAGCGGGGAGCGUCGGGGGCUCCCUCCGCGCCUGUUCCGUCUCCAUUCUGUGCCUCAAGAGCAGCGGGUCUCCACGGGCCUCUCCUGUGUGGGCCCCUGUGAGGGGCAGGGCCUCAGCACAGGCGCCGAGUCUGGCAAUAAUGAUGUAUAUGAUUCAUUUAUAAUUGGGCAUUUUCUGCAAAGGAAGUUACGACGGCUCAGCUGCAGCCUCCUGUACUAAUUGGUGAGUGGCAUCCCCAGCAGUGACUGCAGCAUCUGCUCUCAUUGUCAUCGCCCACCUGGGGCCAGCCGCCCCUGCCCCUCCCUGGCCACCUCAGUGUGGCCAGGUCUCUGCAGGACUCUGACAGCGGCUUUAUCUGGCAUGGAUCUGCUCUAAAGGGCUGCUGAGGCCUGGCCAGGUGCUAAGAGGGCAGGACCAACACUCGGAGGGCCAGAGGCUGGAGACCAGGGAAGGAAGGGCCUGGAAGGGGACUGGGCAGCUGGGUGAACGUGUGCCCCUGCCCCUCGUGAGGAGUCCGUUUGAAUGGCGUCAGCGGGUGUUUUUGCCCUUGAUCGUUGGUACCCGCGGCAGACCGCAUCUUCCAACAACGACUUCAGUGAUUUUUCCGAUCCCACCCGCUCCUCCGCGGCGUGACCUGGCUGCUUGCUCACUAAGCGGCAGAGUCGAUUUCCCUGCCCGGGGUUCUGGGGGGUCUCGCUGACAUCCUCGGCCAGAGGGAUGCGGCAGAACGAUGUCCCGGGAGUCCGGAGACUCGGAUUUGAGAAGUUUUGCUCAUCUCUCUGGGCCUCUCAGGACGCUCAGAAAUGUGCCCUCUCGGAACCCAGCCACUAGGACACCUGGGUCACGUGCAGAGGUCUCAGACAGGUGUCCGCAUGCUCCAGGUGAAGUCCAGCUGAGCUCUCAGCCAACGGCCAGCAUCACCCAAGGGACCAGCCUGGACAUCCAGCCCAGCUGAGCCUCCGGAGGAGGGCAGCCCAGCCAACUUCCGACCAAAACCACGUGGGCGACUCAAGCAAGAGCCUCACCUCACCGCCAAGCCCUGUCCACCCACAGACCCGUGAGAGAUAAGGGCAAUUCGUGUUUUAAGCUGGACUCGCGUGCCCAGAUGGGGCCCCCAGGAACCUCUGGGACUGUCCCUCUGCCAUGCCAGGUGACACAGGCACAGGUGCUGGAGAAGAUGGGUCGUGACUCUGUCUGCCAAAGUGGUCUCUGCAAACAGGGUGUCGCUAUGAAGCUGGAUGCUGCGUCCGUGCUUAGGCUGGCUGCGCAGAAGCUGUCACAAAGGAAGGGGCUGGGGACCCAGCUCCUCCAGGGCAACCUCUCCAGUGGGCAGGGCCUGAGGCUUCAGCUCAAUUCAAAUCCCAGCAGCUCACUCUUCCAGGCAUUUGCAGUGAGCCUCCUGGGCUGUGGGCACUGCUGGGUAACCAGUGUCCUGUGCCCUUGGCAGGAGCCUGGGGACCUCUACGAAUGUGACGCGUGAAUGGAGGUCUCCAGGACCGUGAAGGGACCACGGGGUGGGGCAACACUGAGCCCAGCUCCAUCCCCCGUGGCAGCGUGACCUUGCCAGUUUCACCCCCACUCGCCUCAGCUUUCACAUCUCAAAAAUGGGCCCGCUUCCCUCCUCUCCCAUCCAGAGUGUUUGGCAGAUUGAAUGUGACGAUGCACGGAGAAAAUGAUUCACAAUGUCGCCAGCGCCCCACCCCCAGCUCCUGCCAGGAGAGCCGAGCCCUGGGCGCCCAGGCCAGGGUCAUUUCUUGCCCUUGGAGGGACCUGAGGACCCACAGCUCCUGUCCCAGCGUGUUCACAAGCCCCUUCCUUCUUAGAGUUAGCAAAUACCAGAGAGAAUCCAACGGGCAGGAUUAAAAGGCAGCCAUGAAUAUGCAUGACUCAUUGAGCAAUCAAACACCCCAAAUCCUUUCCAGGAGAAGGGACCGCGGCAUAAUUUUCCGCCACAUAGUUAAAUUCAAAUUAGUCAUUAUUUAAUGUUGGGACAAAUCUCGGGAGAAGGUCAUGUUUUCGGUUUCGUGUUUCUUUCUUAAUAAGCGAGGCUGACUCCAUGGCAGGGGACACAGGCCUUGUUUCUUUCUCUGGUUCUGCUCAUGCUGAAGAGAUGCACUCUUGCAGCAGCGGUAAACGGCUGCUCCCGUGCUCGGCGUGCUUUCAUCAACGCCUGCAGUCCUUUCCCUUCUGUCUCCUGGAUUUUCCUCGGCCACCAUCACUCCCCACUGCCCCGGUCACAAACAGAUCCGCCAAACCUCCCUGUUUGUCUCCAGACUGAGCCAGAUGGUCUGGCUUCAAAUCCUGCUCUGCCAUUUCCCAGCUGUGUGACCUUAGCUAUAUUACUGGACCUCUCUGAGUUUGUCUCCUUGUCUGUAGCAGGGGGAUGACAGUAGUUCCUAGUGCACGGUUCACUGUGGGGAUUAGUAAUAGGCUUAGAAAGGUGCUUCUCCAAGGUACGCGUGCAUAAAUGUCACUUACUAUU